GUGCUCACUCUAGCAGCAUAUACACCCAAACAGGAACCCGACAGGUAAGGGCAGCAUGGCCCCCAGGCAAGGAUGACACAAAUUUGUGAGGUCCUCUAUACUGUU
ensembl:snRNA U6 U6 spliceosomal RNA